UGACAUCUAAAUUUUUUUUGACAAACUCUGACAUCUAAAUGUGCCGGUUCUUUUUGGUGGAGUUUUCUGUGAGCAACUUUUCAGCAUGAUCAUUUUUCGUAAUGAUUUUAGUUUUUUUUUGGUUGGUGAAAUUUGGCUUCUCCCUAAAUUUGUUGAGAUACUUAAUUUAUGUUUACUUAGGGAUUCUAUUUAGGAAUUCGAGAGAACAUAAACGUGUUGUUGUUGUAGGAAUUAGUAGUGGCUCUAUUUUAUGAGUUAUAUAAAUGUUUUAUUUUUUUGAACAUAUUUUUUAUUCCCAUCAACCCAUUAAAAGCAUAAAUAAGCUUACAAAAAAUAAACACUGAAAUC
rnacentral:lncRNA from 1 species